UACGGAGGGUGCAAGCGUUAUCCGGAUUCACUGGGUUUAAAGGGUGCGUAGGUGGGUUGGUAAGUCAGUGGUGAAAUCUCCAGGCUUAACUUGGAAACUGCCAUUGAUACUAUCAAUCUUGAAUACCGUGGAGGUCAGCGGAAUAUGUCAUGUAGCGGUGAAAUGCUUAGAUAUGACAUAGAACACCAAUUGCGAAGGCAGCUUACUACCCGAAUAUUGACACUGAGGCACGAAAGCGUGGGGAUCAAACAGG
rnacentral:rRNA from 1 species